UACGUAGGGUGCGAGCGUUAAUCGGAAUUACUGGGCGUAAAGCGUGCGCAGGCGGUGAUGUAAGACAGUUGUGAAAGCCCCGGGCUCAACCUGGGAACUGCAUUUGAAACUGGCGGGCUUGAGUGUGGCAGAGGGGGGUGGAAUUCCGCGUGUAGCAGUGAAAUGCGUAGAGAUGCGGAGGAACACCGAUGGCGAAGGCAGCCCCCUGGGCCAACACUGACGCUCAGGCACGAAAGCGUGGGGAGCAAACAGG
rnacentral:rRNA from 1 species